AUACGGAGGAUCCGAGCGCUAUCCGGAUUUAUUGGGUUUAAAGGGUGCGCAGGCGGCCAUUUAAGUCAGCGGUUAAAUCGUGGGGCUCAACCCCAUUCUGCCGUUGAUACUGGGUGGCUUGAUUGCGGUCGAGGUUGGCGGAAUUCGUUGUGUAGCGGUGAAAUGCAUAGAUAUGACGAAGAACACCGAUUGCGUAGGCAGCUGACCAGACCGCAAAUGACGCUCAUGCACGAAAGUGCGGGGAUCGAACAGGAUUAGAUACCCUGGUAGUCCGCACAGUAAACGAUGAAUACUUGUUUUCGGCGAUAUAAUGUCGGAGGCAAAGCGAAAGCGAUAAGUAUUCCACCUGGGGAGUACGCCGGCAACGGUGAAACUCAAAGGAAUUGACGGGG
rnacentral:rRNA from 1 species